AGCAGCCGCGGUAAUUCCAGCUCCAAUAGCGUAUAUUAAAGUUGUUGCAGUUAAAAAGCUCGUAGUUGAAUUUCGGGGUCAGUAGGUCGGUCGUGCCACUGGUAUGAACUGGUCUUACUGAUUCCUCCCUCUUGAAGAACUGUAAUGCCAUUAAUUUGGUGUUGCAGGGAAUCAGGACUGUUACUUUGAAAAAAUUUAGAGUGUUUAAAGCAGGCUUUAGCUUGAAUACAUUAGCAUGGAAUAAUGAAAUAGGACGUUUGAUCCUAUUUUGUUGGUUUCUAGGAUUGACGUAAUGAUUAAUAGGGAUAGUUGGGGGCAUUAGUAUUCAAUUGUCAGAGGUGAAAUUCUUGGAUUUAUUGAAGACCAACUACUGCGAAAGCAUUUGCCAAGGAUGUUUUCAUUAAUCAAGAACGAAAGUUAGGGGGAUCGAAGACGAUCAGAUACCGUCGUAGUCUUAACCAUAAACUAUGCCGACUAGGGAUCGGAUGAUGUUAAUUUUUUAAUGACUCAUUCGGCGCCU
rnacentral:rRNA from 1 species